UUUGCAUGUCCCAAGAUCCCAGCCAGCUACUUGUGGACUUAUUCACAGGCUUCUGGUCUCAUCCUGUGCAGCUUCAGUCCCAGUCAGGACACAGCAUGGACAUGAGGGUCCCCACUCACUUUCUGGGCCUCUUGGUGCUCUGGAUAUCAGGUGCCAGAUGUGAUAUCCAGUUGACACAGCCUGCAUCUGCAUCUGCAUCUGUGGGAGACACAGUCAAGAUCAGUUGUCAGGCCAGUCAGAGUGUUAGCAGUUACUUAAGCUGGUAUCAGCAGAAACCAGGGCAAGCUCCUAAACUCCUGAUCUACUAUGCAAACAGAUUGGCAUCUGGAGUCCCAUCGAGGUUCAGUGGCAGUGGUUCUGGGACAGAUUUCACUCUCACCAUCAGCAGCCUGCAGCCUGAAGAUUUUGCAACUUACUACUGUCUACAGUAUGAUAGUUCCCCUCCCACAGUGAUACAAGCCAUGACAUAAACCUCCCAGGGAAGC